rnacentral:tRNA from 1 species
GGAGGAGUGGCAGAGUGGUCGAUUGCUGCGGUCUUGAAAACCGCCGGGGGUGCAAGCCUCCCGUGGGUUCGAAUCCCACCUCCUCCGCCA